CCAAUAUUUUUUGUGGUUAUUGGUUGCUGUAUUUGGUUUACAUUUUGUGUACAGUUUGGCCUUGUAACGUAAGCAACAAUAGCAUGAGAUAGCAAAACCGGAAGUUUUGUAUUAAAUUUUCACACAAUGAAAUUGUUGCACAGGGACUCUUAAGUUUAUAACUGGCCAGACUUCUUCUUCUUAUAUUUUAAGAUAUAAUUGCUAUUUAAUGAUCAUCCAAUUGCCAGAAAUCAGUGAUGUCUAUGUUAUAGGUGUACCCAGGAUAGGCACAAUUGUGAAUAGGUGUUUCCAGGAUAGACACAAUUGUGAAUAGGUGUUUCCAGGAUAGACACAACAGUGGAUAGGUGUUUCCAGGAUAGACACUAUUAUGGAUAGGUGUUUCCAGGAUAGACACUAUUAUGGAUAGGUGUUUCCAGGAUAGACACUAUUAUGGAUAGGUGUUUCCAGGAUAGACACAAUUGUGGAUAGGUGUUUCCAGGAUAGACACAAUUGUGGAUAGGUGUUCUCAGGAUAGACGCAAUUGUGGAUAGGUGUUACACAAUUGUGAAUAUGGGUAGGUGUUCUCAGGAUAGACACAAUUGUGGAUAGGUGUUUCCAGGAUAGACACAAUUGUGAAUAGGUGUUUCCAGGAUAAACACAACAGUGGAUAGGUGUUUUCAGGAUAGACACAAUUGUGGAUAGGUAUUUCCAGGAUAGACACAAUUGUGGAUAGGUGUUCUCAGGAUAGACACAAUUGUGAAUAGGUGUUUUCAGGAUAGACACAAUUGUGGAUAGGUAUUUCCAGGAUAGACACAAUUGUGGAUAGGUGUUCUCAGGAUAGACACAAUUGUGGAUAGGUGUUUUCAGGAUAGACACAAUUGUGGAUACAGGUAGGUGUUCCCAGGAUAGACACAAUUACUUAACAUAAUCAAUUAUGAGGUAUGAAAUACCAUGAAAUCCAAUGGAAAUGAACAAAAUAUCCAUUGUUCAUAAUGUUUAUUAAUUUCUAUUGUAAGUGCAAAGUAAAAAACAAGACCUCUGUAUGUUAUCAUAUUGUUUAGACCACAAUUCUUUUUUGCCAAAUGAGAGGGCCAUAUAUAGUAUCCAGAUAUGAAAUCAUGAAUACAGUCAACACAGUUCUCUAGUAUUUUAAAAAAUGUUUUAUAUAAAAAUAAUAAAAUUCAAUGAUAGACAUAUGGAGGUUUUAUUUUAGAAAGAACAACAAGCUUAUAUUGAAAUGAAGCACAUGUUCUUACAAACUAAACAGAAGGAAGCUCAUGAUACUUUUUUUGGUAGCAGUCGAGAAUUUUAAUGUUUUUACUUUCAUAUUUUUAUCUCUGUUGUAGAGGGCAUAGAUUAGCAUAAAGACCAAAUGUAUGGCAAAGCUAGAACAAAUAAACAAGCAAUGAAACUCAGGAUAAAUGAAA